rnacentral:rRNA from 1 species
CCUACGGGUGGCAGCAGUGGGGAAUAUUGCACAAUGGGGGAAACCCUGAUGCAGCGACGCCGCGUGAGUGAAGAAGUAAUUCGUUAUGUAAAGCUCUAUCAGCAGGGAAGAAAAUGACGGUACCUGAGUAAGAAGCCCCGGCUAACUACGUGCCAGCAGCCGCGGUAAUACGUAGGGGGCAAGCGUUAUCCGGAUUUACUGGGUGGAAAGGGAGCGUAGACGGCAUGGCAAGUCUGGAGUGAAAGGCGGGGGCUCAACCCCCGGACUGCUCUGGAAACUGUACGGCUGGAGUGCAGGAGAGGUAAGUGGAAUUCCUAGUGUAGCGGUGAAAUGCGUAGAUAUUAGGAGGAACACCAGUGGCGAAGGCGGCUUACUGGACUGUAACUGACGUUGAGGCUCGAAAGCGUGGGGAGCAAACAGGAUUAGAUACCCCAGUAGUC